UACGUAGGGGGCGAGCGUUGUCCGGAAUCAUUGGGCGUAAAGAGCUCGUAGGCGGUUCAGUAAGUCAGGUGUGAAAGCUCCGAGCUCAACUCGGAGAGGCCACCUGAUACUGCUGUGACUAGAAUCCAGUAGGGGAGUGUGGAACUCCUGGUGUAGCGGUGAAAUGCGCAGAUAUCAGGAAGAACACCAGCGGCGAAGGCGGCACUCUGGGCUGGUAUUGACGCUGAGACGCGAAAGCGUGGGGAGCGAACAGG
rnacentral:rRNA from 1 species